rnacentral:misc_RNA from 1 species
GAUGAAGAACGUAGCGAAAUGCGAUAAGUAAUGUGAAUUGCAGAAUUCAGUGAAUCAUCGAAUCUUUGAACGCACAUUGCGCCCGCCAGUAUUCUGGCGGGCAUGCCUGUUCGAGCGUCAUUUCAACCCUCAAGCACAGCUUGGUGUUGGGACUCGCGUUAAUUCGCGUUCCCCAAAUUGAUUGGCGGUCACGUCGAGCUUCCAUAGCGUAGUAGUAAAACCCUCGUUACUGGUAAUCGUCGCGGCCACGCCGUUAAACCCCAACUUCUGAAUGUUGACCUCGGAUCAGGUAGGAAUACCCGCUGAACUUAAGAAUAUCAAUAAGCGGAGGA